rnacentral:tRNA from 2 species
GGCUCGAUAGCUCAGUUGGUGAGAGCGACGGAUUCAUAACCCGUAGGUCGGCAGUUCGACUCUGCCUCGAGCCACCA